rnacentral:rRNA from 1 species
CCUACGGGAGGCUGCAGUGGGGAAUAUUGCACAAUGGGGGAAACCCUGAUGCAGCGACGCCGCGUGAGUGAAGACGUAUUUCGGUAUGUAAAGCUCUAUCAGCAGGGAAGAAAAUGACGGUACCUGAUUAGGAAGCCCCGGCUAACGACGUGCCAGCAGCCGCGGUAAUACGGAGGGGGCGAGCGUUAUCCGGAUUUACUGGGGGGAAAGGGAGCGUAGACGGCAGCACAAGUCUGGAGUGAAAUGCCGGGGCUUAACCCCGGAACUGCUUUGGAAACUGUGCAGCUAGAGUGCAGGAGAGGUAAGUGGAAUUCCUAGUGUAGCGGUGAAAUGCGUAGAUAUUAGGAGGAACACCAGUGGCGAAGGCGGCUUACUGUACUGUAACUGACGUUGAGGCUCGAAGGUGUGGGGAGCAAACAGGAUUAGAUACCCGUGUAGUC